AUUGAACGCUGGCGGCAUGCUUUACACAUGCAAGUCGAACGGCAGCGCGGGCUUCGGCCUGGCGGCGAGUGGCGAACGGGUGAGUAAUACAUCGGAACGUGCCCAGAAGUGGGGGAUAGCUCGGCGAAAGCCGGAUUAAUACCGCAUACGACCUGAGGGUGAAAGCGGGGGAUCUUCGGACCUCGCGCUAUUGGAGCGGCCGAUGGCAGAUUAGCUAGUUGGUGGGGUAAAGGCCUACCAAGGCGACGAUCUGUAGCUGGUCUGAGAGGACGACCAGACACACUGUGAGUGAGACACGGCACAGACUCUGACGGGAGGCAGCAGUGGGGAAUUUUGGACAAUGGGCGAAAGCGUGAUCCAGCAAUGCCGGGUGUGUGAUGAAGGCCUUAUGGUUGUAAAGCACUUUUGGCGGGAACGAAAAGGACUGUGCCAAUACCACGGUUCGAUGACGGUACCCGCAGAAUAAGCACCGGCUAACUACGUG
rnacentral:rRNA from 1 species